rnacentral:misc_RNA from 1 species
GAUGAAGAACGCAGCGAAAUGCGAUAAGUAAUGUGAAUUGCAGAAUUCAGUGAAUCAUCGAAUCUUUGAACGCACAUUGCGCCCCCUGGUAUUCCGGGGGGCAUGCCUGUCCGAGCGUCAUUACAACCCUCAAGCUCAGCUUGGUAUUGGGCCCCGCCGACCCGGCGGGCCCUAAAGUCAGUGGCGGUGCCGUCCGGCUCCGAGCGUAGUAAUUCUUCUCGCUCUGGAGGUCCGGUCGUGUGCUCGCCAGCAACCCCCAAUUUUUUUCAGGUUGACCUCGGAUCAGGUAGGGAUACCCGCUGAACUUAAGCAUAUCAAUAAGAGGAGGA